UUCACUCCCAGCAGCGUGGGAUCCUCGCCCAAGGCCGGGAAAACACAGGAGUGAAAUGACAGCUAUACAAGUACACUCCACAGGCUGCACAAAAAGAAGAAAAACAGUGCUACACACACCAGUAAGCAACGGCACUGGCAUGCUCCACCUCCUGUGGGCAGCCUGGGCAUGAGGUCAUUUUCCAAAACAGGCAGCUGGUCAGCAUUUUCCAUGCCCAGGGCAAGUUCCCCUUGAUGGGCAGAGCCUAACGACCAGCGCUGAGUCAGUCUAGGAGCAGCAAGACUGGAAACCCUGGCGCAGGAGCCACGUCAGCGUGACUCAAGCAAUGGCAAGUUCUCACAGCAACAACAUGAAACGCCCAACAGGGUGAUGACUAUGGGAGGAAAACGGACCAGAACCUGGACAGUGCGUGCACUGCACACCCUCCUGGUUAACAGCCCCAUGCCCCGAGAGCUGUUCUUUACAUGAAUUUCUUCUGUUAAAGCAGCUCGUGUGGCUUCUGCAGCCUGGUGGAGCCACCACACGUGCCUGUCACGGAGGUGAGGAGUGGGUGCCCACCAGCAUUUCACGCUGACCUUCCGGAAACACGGUGUCCCUCAGAGCCUUCAGCCUGCAGGACAGAGCCACCCCUGGUCGUUCUGUUGGAAUUUCGGCGUUCCUGUCUUUUAGGCGACAUCCGCCAAGCGCAGUUUGUGUGAAGAAACGCAUUCUGUCGUGUCCACCGGGGCCCAGGGCGGCUGCUGUGCACGAACCAGCUUUUGUGGCCCACAGAGCGAUGACUCAGUCUGGAGCUUGGCUACUCUCCGGCCCGGGGUGCUGGCAUUUCCCUGGGGCCCAGUGCCUCUAUUUUCCCCAUGAGGCCUCAGCCAAAAGGAGGUUCUGGAAGAAAGGAAAACACUGGUGCGGAGAGAGAAGGGCUGGCCAAGAGGCACCACGCCAUCAGUGCUGAUGGGGAGAGGCGGCUCCAGCCCGGCACUGCUGUCCUUACGAGGCGUGUUUCCUUUUUAUUCAGAGGAAGAGAAGCAGAGGAACACGUCAUGGAGACGGACUGAGUGGAAGGAGCCAGGGAUGGCGACAAGCAGAAGGAAGUUGUUUUGUCCCCAUCCAGGGAAGCUUUUGUUUCAUGAGACUUACUUGCACACGUCUGGUGGCCGCCCUGGACAUUCACGGACUUUUGUUUUCACUCAGAUUUUGUGGUUCAAGUGACACAAAGCAUGAGGACGUCACUGGGCGAGAGGGCCAGAUCACCCCACCGCGGAGGGGCGCGCCCCAGCUGUGCACCACGGGAGUGGGCUUGUCCAGUCUUCAAACACUGGGACAGGAUGUGCCCAUCUCAUGUAAGACAUGA